rnacentral:rRNA from 1 species
UACGAAGGGGGCUAGCGUUGUUCGGAUUUACUGGGCGUAAAGCGCACGUAGGCGGAUUGUUAAGUGAGAGGUGAAAUCCCGGAGCCUCAACUCCGGAACUGCCUUCAUACUGGCAAUCUAGAGUCCGGAAGAGGUGAGUGGAACUCCUAGUGUAGAGGUGGAAUUCGUAGAUAUUAGGAAGAACACCAGUGGCGAAGGCGGCUCACUGGUCCGGUACUGACGCUGAGGUGCGAAAGCGUGGGGAGCAACAGG